UACGGGGGGUGCGAGCGUUGUCCGGAAUCACUGGGCGUAAGGGGCGCGUAGGUGGUUUGAUAAGGGUGUGGUGAAAGUCCGGGGCUCAACCCCGGAUCUGCCGUGCCGACUGUCAAACUCGAGGGCUGUAGAGGCAGACGGAAUUCCGGGUGUAGCGGUGGAAUGCGUAGAGAUCCGGAGGAACACCGGUGGCGAAGGCGGCUUCCUGGACCGACACUGACGCUGAGGCGCGAAAGCGUGGGGAGCGAACAGG
rnacentral:rRNA from 1 species